AUUGAACGCUGGCGGCAGGCCUAACACAUGCAAGUCGAGCGGGGUUUUCGGACCUAGCGGCGGACGGGUGAGUAAUGCGUAGGAAGCUACCCGAUAGAGGGGAUACCAGUUGGAAACCGACUGUUAAUACCGCAUAAUGUCUACGGACUAAAGUGUGGGACCUUCGGGCCACAUGCUAUCGGAUGCGCCUACGUGGGAUUAGCUAGUUGGUGGGGUAAUGGCUCACCAAGGCGACGAUCCCUAGCUGGUUUGAGAGGAUGAUCAGCCACACUGGAACUGAGACACGGUCCAGACUCCUACGGGAGCAGCAGUGAGGAAUAUUGGUCAAUGGACGCAAGUCUGAACCAGCCAUGCCGCGUGCAGGAUGACGGUCCUAUGGGAUUGUAAACUGCUUUUGUACG
rnacentral:rRNA from 1 species